rnacentral:snRNA from 1 species
GGAUACGAGGGAGAUCUGGCUGUGAUAUGUGUUACUCGUUGAUUGCCAGGACUGAUCAGCUGAUUGGCUGGCUAGACAAUGUCCCUUUCCUCCCUCAGAGCCCCAUGUGCAUCCCUCCCAAAGCUAGGCACUUGUUUGAAGAGGAUGACCACCUUCGUAGAGAAGGACCACUUCCUAGGGCAAGGAGUCCUUUGCUCGAACUUCCAAACAAGCACUCAAGACCAGUCUGCACUAUAUAGGGAAAAGGUAUCUUAAAAAAAACAAAUCAACUAAGACUGGGGUACAGCUCGGUGAUGGUGUUUGCCUACCAUA